rnacentral:lncRNA from 1 species
GACGGAUGGCAAUACCCAACCGACCACAAAAAGAAGAGCCCCUGGGGAAGCCAACCUGGAUCUCUCCACCCACCGACCAGAGCGUGGGGACUCCUCUCAGGUACAUCCAUCCUUGAAUCCCUUGUCAGCGCCCAUAAGUCUGCCCAAGAGCAAGACACGUGCAGCAGAUGAUUCAGGAGACAGCAGCGAGCAGACGGACUCCGUCAGCCAGUGGAGCGAAGCGAGCCAGUUCUAUGGAGGCUCCAGCA